rnacentral:snRNA from 1 species
CCAAUUUCUCAGCCUUUUAGCCAAGAUCAAAUGUAGUAUCUGUUCUUAUCAGUUACUCCUUGGAAUAUUGUGUUCCUUUUGAGAUUCGCUUGUGUUAGCACGACCGCAACCGAAUCUCCCCGUAA